ACACUACUGCAGUAGAAGCUGUAGCCGUGCUCUCACUCGAAUGCUCUAUCCAUUGCCAAGAGGUUAUCAUCCAUCAUUAGCUCAUUCGUUUCUUAUUAGGCCAAGAUGAAGUAAAUAUCUCUGCUCAUUUUCUUAAUGAAGUAGUGUUUGAUGAAAGUGCUAGAUUGAUUGAUAUAGAUUUUGUUUUUGGAUCAGAGCCUUCCUUCAUUUAUAGUUUCCAAAGAAAAAAAUAUUUUAUUCAAUUUGAUUGGUUGUCUUAUUUUCCUGCAUUGGCCGGAAUAUUCAAAAAGAAGAUGAAUUUUCAAGACUGUCUUCAGGACAGAGGUAUAGGAAAAUAGAAAGAAAAGCUAAAACUCACUUGAUAAGUAGAUACGGAUAGGCGGAGAUGAUGCACAUCCAAAAAGCUAUCUCAACCGUAGAACUCUUUCCUUCUUUCAUCGAGUCCACAUCAUCAUUUGUGAGGUUUGGGUCCAUCUCUCAUCAAAGUUGUGAGAGAGAAGUUGUACUUUUUUUUAAUAUAAUAAACAUAAUUUUAUAAGAAAAAUUAAUAUAUUCUUGUUAUCAAUUUAAAGUAGGAAACUAAAGCGAUGAUUGCUUGGAAGUUCUUGCAUGACAAACACGAAGGUUGCAGAUUCUUUCUGGAUGCCUUUGACUUGAGGAAUGUUGGUUUUAAGAUUUUUCCAUCAAUUGAGAAGGCAACAAUCUCCUUCUCAUAUAGGCUUCGAUUAAAGGAGUACGGAUGUGAUCGAAACUCCCCAGAGAUUAGGUAAUGAGAUAAUUCCUUGACACACAGGAAUUGCCUUCUCAACACAUGAAAGAAUUCCAUAUAGACAAUGAUUGAAGGAGUUCUACAAUGAUCAAGACUCUUUAGAGAUUGGGUGAUGCGGUAAUUUCAUAACGCACAAGGAGUUGUCCGUAUCUUCUAUCAGUGUAUCUUUGUUCUAACCAUCCAUUUUGGUUGGGGCCCGGCCCGAGUCCUACUUAGACUAGGACUUGGCCAAGUGGUUAGUUGAUAUGGGGCUGACGUGGAUAAAUGAUAUUUUGCUUUAACAACGAGAAUAGUACCUCAAUGGUUGAAAUUUGAUUUGAUUUUGAGAAGCC
rnacentral:lncRNA from 1 species